UACGAAGGGGGCUAGCGUUGCUCGGAAUUACUGGGCGUAAAGCGCACGUAGGCGGCUUUGUAAGUUAGAGGUGAAAGCCCGGGGCUCAACUCCGGAAUUGCCUUUAAGACUGCAUCGCUAGAAUCGUGGAGAGGUAAGUGGAAUUCCGAGUGUAGAGGUGAAAUUCGUAGAUAUUCGGAAGAACACCAGUGGCGAAGGCGACUUACUGGACACAUAUUGACGCUGAGGUGCGAAAGCGUGGGGAGCAAACAGG
rnacentral:rRNA from 1 species